rnacentral:rRNA from 1 species
UACGGGGGGAGCAAGCGUUGUUCGGAUUUACUGGGCGUAAAGGGCGCGUAGGCGGCCACUGCAAGUCGACUUUGAAAUCUCCGGGCCUAACUCGGAAAGGUCAGCCGAUACUGCGGGGCUAGAGUGCAGAAGGGGCAACUGGAAUUCUCGGUGUAGCGGUGAAAUGCGUAGAUAUCGAGAGGAAAACCUGCGGCGAAGGCGGGUUGCUGGGCUGACACUGACGCUGAUUGUGCGAAAGCUAGGGGAGCGAACGGG